GGGGCGCGCAUGAAGUGCUUACUGCAUUUUUUCUUACACAUGUGUUUUUCUUUUUUUGAAAACUUUGCUUUGGUAGGCCUUCUAUAUGGGGCCUGCCAGAGAUUAAACUCAACCAAAUUUUAUUUAAUGUCAACCGAUUAUUUAAUAGUCAAAACUUUCAACAACGGAUCUCUUGGUUCUCGCAUCGAUGAAGAACGCAGCGAAAUGCGAUAAGUAAUAUGAAUUGCAGAUAUUCGUGAAUCAUCGAAUCUUUGAACGCACAUUGCGCCCUUUGGUAUUCCAAAGGGCAUGCCUGUUUGAGCGUCAUUUCUCCCUCAAACCCUCGGGUUUGGUGUUGAGCGAUACGCUGGGUUUGCUUGAAAGAAAGGCGGAGUAUAAACUAAUGGAUAGGUUUUUUCCACUCAUUGGUACAAACUCCAAAACUUCUUCCAAAUUCGACCUCAAAUCAGGUAGGACUACCCGCUGAACUUAAGCAUAUCAAUAAGCGGAGGAA
rnacentral:rRNA from 1 species